GACGAACGCUGGCGGCGUGCUUAACACAUGCGCGUCGAACGGAAAGGCCCUGCUUUUGUGGGGUGCUCGAGUGGCGAACGGGUGAGUAACACGUGAGUAACCUGCCCUUGACUUUGGGAUAACUUCAGGAAACUGGGGCUAAUACCGGAUAGGAGCUCCUGCUGCAUGGUGGGGGUUGGAAAGUUUCGGCGGUUGGGGAUGGACUCGCGGCUUAUCAGCUUGUUGGUGGGGUAGUGGCUUACCAAGGCUUUGACGGGUAGCCGGCCUGAGAGGGUGACCGGCCACAUUGGGACUGAGAUACGGCCCAGACUCCUACGGGAGGCAGCAGUGGGGAAUAUUGCACAAUGGGCGGAAGCCUGAUGCAGCAACGCCGCGUGCGGGAUGACGGCCUUCGGGUUGUAAACCGCUUUCGCCUGUGACGAAGCGUGAGUGACGGUAAUGGGUAAAGAAGCACCGGCUAACUACGUG
rnacentral:rRNA from 1 species